UGAGCACCUAGGAAAAAAAGGCCAUAUGCAGAUAAUGACGAACCAUAAGACUGAAUUACCUCGGAUGCUUGUGCCCACAAGAAAUCGCGGAGCCACCUAUUAAUAGUAAUAGAACUUUACGCAAAGUUUCCUCCCGUGAUAUGAGUUACUACCCCUUGAUCACUUACACUGCCCCAAACAUCUGACUGCAUUUUCCAACUGAAAUGGAAUAUUACUACCGAAAUUGCAUUGUACAUCCAGAAUAGUCUUAAGAAGACAUGAUCCCAGGCCGAUACUUGAUAUGUACCCCCUCUUCCAGGUCCAUCACAAGGAAAACGAAAACCAAAAUUUACUUUAUCCGGUAUCAAACGGGAACUGCGAGCAAAUAGAACACCUUUCAAGUGUAUCAAUAUCUUCACAUGAAUCGUAAAUGCAUGAAUGUGAUGUACCAAAAAAUCCGCGGUUCCUAAUGGAAUAGGCAACAAAGCCACCUUGCCACCCACUGCCACUAAAUCACCACCCCCUCCCCAAGUUAAACUGGUACUUGCUGUUGCACCAGGAGCCGUAUUUAGUUACAGUUGUAAUAUCUCUAGGAAACACAAGUUCAAAUAAUUUCCUAUGUAUAAAGGUUAUAAUAAAAAAACUAACAAAUACUAGAAAGCAGUAAAACUAUCAUUUAACAAGAAUAAGGAUUAGAACAAGAUUAAGGAGGUCUAGAGCUAUGAUUUUCCCAACUGUCGAAAUCCUUCCUGGUUUGUCUUUUAUAAUUUCGCCUAAGUAUCUCUAUUGAUCGUGGGUACUUCGGGUGUCAUAGUUCUAUUCCGAGCAACUACCACAAUUUACUAGACAUAUUCUUCCGGCCUACGCUAGCUGGCAUUAGUUUACCUCUCACUAAGAUCGCAUCAAUGUUUCGUUAUUCAUAAUCCCACCUUUAAACCUUUCGUAUUGAUUCAUCAAAUACGUUAGUAGUAAUGUUGUUCAACAUCUACCUAAAUAUGUAUCAAUUUCCAAGCAAUACAUACUAAAUAGGCACAAUCAAUUGAUGGUCAUUCAAUCAAAAACAAUAAACACGUAGUUGAAUAAAUAGAGAAACCUAAUGGCUCAAUUAUAUAAAAGCAUAAUAAGAGUUUAUCCUACAAAAGGUUUUAUCAAAAUUCUAGAUAACAAAUUAGAUAUUCAUAAUAGUAUGCAUAACUACAGUAAUAGAAUUCAUAACCAAAAAAUAGAAAUAGAAAGAAGGAACUGAAAAACUCGUAGAAGAAUUCUCCACCUUGCUCUGAGUUUGUUCUUGCCUCUUUAGGUUUAAAUUUUCAUAAAAAUAGUGUUUAAUAACUAUUUAUACACGUAGGGAAAAGAUUUAGAUGAAAUAAUCAAUUUCAAAAAAAAAAAGACAAAAUAGGCUUUAAACCCCGAAACACGCAUCAAAUCGCGGCAGACCGAGUCUAGCGAGCUCAAACAUAAGCUCCAUCUCGUUGUAGCCCUCGCGUCGCCUGCUCUAACGAGAGUUAAAUAGCUCACUACGCCUGCUGCUUCGUUUCUCAUUCUUCAAUUUCAAUAUGGAGGUCUUUUGUUAGUGCUAGUUGCCUAACACUCCCACUUCUUUCUUUUGCUUUCCAAUUUCAUCUUACAUCAAUUUUCACACAUUAUCCUUGAAUAAAUUUAUCUUCAAUCAUUAUCCAAUCAUGAUAUCAUAAUAUUUUCUAUCGUUAAAUAAUCACAAGCCAUUCUUGUAGUGCAUAAGUUAGACAUAAAAUCUUUACUUUGAUUUCAAUUUCAUCUUCAAUGUACUUACACAUAAAAUAAAUUCAAUUAAGUAUAAAUAUAGUAUAAUUUAGCAUUAAAACACCUAAAUGUAAAGUAAGUAAUAUACUAAAAAUAUAUAAUUAUUGCCAAACAUCACCACCCUACACUUAAACGUUGCUUGUCUUCGAGUCAACCAACAAUUCACCACUAUAGAGACACACUACACCAAUAAUUAUAGUUGAUAUCAACAAUUAAGCUAGAGCAGAUGCCUACAACGCUUCCCUUUACUCUAUGCCAUACUUUAAAAAUUUAUUCAGCAAUAAGACAACUUGCUUAUAACUGUCAUAGCCUCACAAAACGACUCAAUGUCACAAUGCACUCAAUAGCUUGAACACUCAACAUCGUAGAGAAAUCUAAUAACGUCACAUAUCCUUUGUGAAACCAUGUACCCUCAAAACAAGAGCAAGAGGGUAAGUUGAAUCCACACAUUUACUUGUGGGAUUUUAGUGGGUAGGUUGUUGUUGUUGUUGUUUGGUGUAUCCUUUUACUAAACAAGUGCACAUUUCUUCUUUUCAUUGGUUCCACUCAAAAGUCACCCCACACUUAGUCUCUUCUUACUCCUUUGGGCGCUCAUCUCACAAAUAAAGUGUUUAAGAGGUAAAUGAUCAAAAUAGUAUCACUUAAGAAUAAAAAGAGUUAGAUUUGUAAUGUGAAUGCCAAAUAAAAAUCUGUAGGCUCAAAUGAGUUAACUAGCGAUAGAUUUUAUUUGUGACGGUGAUAAUGCUCAAAAAAUCAAAGAAAUAUUAAAAUUAUUUUUUAAACUGAGCAUCACCUCAAAUUUUACUUCAACUCACAUACCAAGCAAGUUCUAGACACAAGUACAAUGACAUGAACUACACAAAAAAUCUUACCACAAAUGGCACAUGAUUCACUAAGGGCUUUUAUCUCAUUCAGACUCUCAACUAAUGCAAGUAUUCACAAAGCCACGAAUUAUUAAGCAUUAAGCAUAAAGUGAGAAAUCGUUAAGAGAAUAAGACAUAUGCGUCAAUAACAUGCUAUACAAUUCAUCACAACAUGAUAAAUUUUAACACAAAGGUACGUUACUACACAUGCCAAAGACCAAAAUUAUCAAACAAGUCAAAGGCACCAGGAAUCUCAUCUUUCUUCCCUCAUUUAUUUUAUAAAUUCUAAUCUACUCUAAAAUAAUAAAAAAUUAAAGAAAAAACUAUUACUCAGUUCAAACUACAUCUGAUGAAAAAAAUUGAGGCACAAAGAAAAAUCAAAGGAGAUCAUUACUACUUUAAAAAAACUAAAAGAUAUAUUUUUGGAUUUUUAUUUAGACUUUAAUCCCUCAAGAAAACUGCUUAGGAGAUCCAUAGUCGGGGCAAGUUUUAUUUUCUUAUUAUUAUUUUCCAUAUUUAAAAAAUAAAAAAAUAAAUUAAGCUACAAAAAUAUUACACAACUAUGAAAACAAAUAUAAGAAGCUAAAAUCAAAAUAAGAAGUUAACAUUUUCAAACAUACUACUAAUUAUCUAGAGGAAUUCUUCCACUCCACACUUAAAGAAGUGAAAUGUCCCCACUGUAAAACUAAAGAAAAACAAUAAUAAGGGUAGACAAGAAACUCCCUGAAAAGGCCAAAAGAACGAAGCAAUAGUGGCUCGCGGGUACUUGGACUUCCCCUAUGCAUGGUUUUUUGUGUAGGUAUCUCACACUUAGUUCUCACCAUCUAACUUGCUUUUGCACUCUUCUAAUGUUUUUACCUCCUACGCUUAUAAUCCUACAAACCAAAAACAAACACUACAAUAAUAAUAAGAUAAAAAAAUAAAAAUAAAAAUAUGCAGUAAAGAUGGGUUGCCUCCCAACAAGCAUCUGAUUUAACGUCGCAGUACGAUUUGCACUACUUUUUGCCUCCACCUUGAACUUAUGAAUUGGACCCAAGUUUUGAUUCUGCUCUAUGAUCAUGCUCUUGGGGCGAUGCAAAUUGUUGCGAGCCAAAAAUGAAAUAAUUUUUUAUGCACUUUUUGGUUUUAAACUGAGGAGUGUCAUUUUGCCUUGACGGCCUUGAAAAUUUUAUAAUAUAGAGCUCAUCUACCACUUCAUUUGACUCUUGCAUUGGCUCAUACAGAUGAAUUUCCAUUUCACCAUAUGAAAAUAAUGUAGAGAAGUGUUUGGAAUGAGGUCCAACGCGCUCAAAUAUAUGAAUUCCAAGAUUUUUAAUCUCUUCAACACCACACUAGAGUCAACUAAACUUGUAUCUUCAACAUCCCUGGUUGAAUUUAAUAUUAUUUCUUCAACAUCGACAUCCUCAAAUUUUAGUUGGUUAGAUUGUUGGUUUUCUACUCUGACCUCCUCCAUUUUCACCUCAAUUUCAGCAUCUAUUUCAUGGUCUUCUUGGCUAUUAUCCACAAUAUUGGUUUGUUGAGCAUUAAAUGCCUCAAUUAGUUGACUCAUUUGUGCCUUCAGGUUGCGUAUAACAGCUUCUUGCCUUUGUAAGUGCAGUUAUUUCUCAUUAUUUUAUUCCACAAGGCACCUUAGCAUAUCAUUGAUCUCUUUCAAGUCAUCAUCCGUGGGUUCUUUGAUCCUAUUAACUUUAGAAGAAAAAGAAGAACCAUCAAAUUAAGGAGUUAGAGAAAGAUUGUCAACAAAAACAACCCAGUAUAAUCCCACUUAGUGGGGUCUGGGGAAGGUAGUAUGUACGCAGACCUUACCCCUACCAUGGGGUAGAGAGGCUGUUUCCAAAUAGACCCCUGGCAUCCUUCCCUACAAGCACUUCCUACCUUCCUCUUGGGGAGACUUGAACUCACAACCUCUCGGUUGGAAGUGGCGGUUGCUUACCAUCAGAGCAAAGAUUGUCACUACCCAGAUUUUCCACCCUUGAGAGUCGUUAUGGCGCAUACUCAUAGAAGCUAGGCAAGCCAUGGACUUAGAAAUCACUAACUCAUUUGUUUUAAAACUACUUGAAAAUUACAUUAGCAGGUGAUAAACAUGUAAAUAACAGCGGCAUUUUAGUUUAGCAGAAGUCUUAAAUAAAUAUAAACCCAAAACAUCUCGAAACAACACAUGUCUCUAACCAGAACCUAGUGUCACAACAUCCACGGACUACUAAGAGUACUACAUACAACAAUUUGAAGGAAAUAUAGUACUAUUUUUCUUGAAUACAUGAGAUAAUAGGAUAUAAAAUAAGAUAGAGGAGACGUCGGGCCUGCGGACGCCUGCAAGGCUACUUGGUGUCUUGAAGGACUGAAGGCUGGCUCCCGAACUACUGUCGCUAAUCAAAUGCUGCUCUGGUAUCUACACAGAGUGCAGAGUGUAGUAUCAGCGCAACCGACCCCAUAUGCUGGUAAGUGUCUGGCCUAACCCCGGCGAGGUAGUGAUGAGGCUAGGACCAGACUCCACAUAAAUCUGUGCAGUUAUAUGUAUAUACAGUGGAAAAUAGUCUGGAAUAACAAUUAAAGCUGGGAAGGGGAAACAUGCUUCAGGGGAUGACAGAUAAGAACAGAAUCUCAAGAGAAUUAUAAGGAAGACCAAAAUUUAACUUCUAACCUAUAUAAGGAGAAUAAAGACAGGGUUCACUUUCAAUUCACAUCUCAUUGCAGGCUGCAACCUGAUCUUAUUUCUCAUUUCUCGUGGUAGGCGUACCACCCGCUCCCAUUUCAAUAUAACUCGUGGUAGGCAUACCACCUGCAUCUAUUUCAUUAAACCUCAUGGAGCAUACCACCCGCUCCCAUUUUAUUAAAUCUCGUGGUAGGCGUACCACCCGCUCCCAUUUUAUUAAAUCUUGUGGUAGGCGUACCACGCGCUACCAUUUUAUUAAAUCUUGUGGUAGCCAUACCACCCGCUCCCAUUUCAUUAAAUCUUAUGGUAGGCGUGCCACCCACACCCAUUUCAAGCCAAUACAAAAUCACAAAGAAAUCCUGGCAAAGGAACAAGGUAAUAUAAUAACUUUUCGGCAAGGUAAAAAAGCAAUAUAAUAACUUCACGACAAGGGAACAAAGCAAUAUAAUAAAUUUCCGACAAGGGAAUAGCAAUAUUGAAACAAACAUCCCGGCAGGGGAGAAUCAUCUAUAACCAACCUUAACUCAACUUCUACUCAGCUCAAUUAACACCAAUACUUAGUCGUAAGUUAAUUCCAUGAAAAUAAACUAAAUCCUUGACCGAUAUCGAGAAUCACCAAUUAAAGCAACCGUAGAAUCAUUUAAGAACACAACAAUUAUCAAAUUAAGACUCACGGUCAUGCUCGACACCAAUGUAUAGAUACUCGUCACCAUGCCUAUACGUCGUACUCCAUAAGAAACAAUUAGCAAAUUGGACACAACUCCUAAUCCCUCAAGCUAAGGUUAGACCAGACACUUACCUCAAACUUUCACGGCUAACUCAAUCCUCAAACACCACUUUUCCUUUCAAAUUUGGCUCCAACCCAAUCGAAUCUAAACAUAAUCGAUUUAAAAAUAUCAAUAAUUACUAAAAAAAAAUCCAAUUCCAAUGCUUAAUUAUAGCUUUCUAAUUAUUAUUCCCAAAAAUCCAAAAAUCGAUCUGGGAUCCGCUUGGUAAAAACACACGGUUCAUACAAAAAUCAAAUCACUAAUUCACCCACAAGCCCAAAUAUAUAAUUAUUUCGCGAAUUCGACCUCAAAAUGAGGUCUAAAUCAUCAUUAAUCAAAAAGCCCUAGUUCUACCCAAAUUUCUAAUUUUCUACCCAUAAUCUCAUGUUUUAGGCAUAGAAAUCUUAUGGGUGAUGAUAGAAAUGGAAGAAAACAAGCUUAGGAUUACAUACCUAUAAAGUUAUGGUGAAUAAACUCUUCAAAAAUUACCCCAAGAGGUGUGGAGAAGAAGGAGUUAUGAAAUUUGUAAUAAUCCUGUAAGGCUACUAUUUUGGGUCUUUAAAAAUUACUGGCCAAAAAUGGUCUAUACGAUCAUGAAGAAUGUAGUGCGAUCACAUAGAGUAAGGAGAAAAUGGUCAUUGCAAUCGUAAAUAGAGCACUGCAAUCGCAUAGAAGAAACAUGCUAGGCAUUGCAAUCGCGAAUAGCACUAUGCGAUCGCAUAGAGGAAAAUAUAGGACCUCUCAGACUUAACAACAUAAGAUCGCAAGAGGAACUAUGCGAUCGCAUAGAACCAAACUGAACCCCUAAAAAUUACUCUAUGCGAUCGCGAUCCUACUUAUGCGAUCGCAUAGUACAAAUCACUGCACCAAAAGCUGCAAAAAAACCAAAUUUUUUCUAAGUUCAAAACACUCCGACACCUAUCCAAAACUCACCCGAGCCCUCGGGCUCCUAACCAAACAUACGAACUAACUCAAUAACAUCAUACAAACUUAUCUGUGUGAUAAAAUUGCUAAAAUAAUAUCAAUAUCAACAAAUUAAACCUCAAAAUCAAAGCAUUUUUCUCAAACUUCAUCAAGUAUCAAAUUUAGCAAUUCAAGUCCGAAUCACGUCAAACGACGUCCGUUUUUAACCAAAUUUUACAUGAGUGAUUUAAACCACAUAUAAGACCUGUACCGGACACUAGAACCAAAAUAUGGGCCCGAUACCAUCACUUUCUAAUCAGAUUUUAUUUUAGAUUUUCUUAAACAAUUUCAGAAAAUAAUUUCACUUAAAAAUUCAUUUCUCGGGCUUGUGGCAUUGAAAUUUGAUUCCGGACAUAUGCCCAAGUCUCAUAUUUUCCUACGUACCAUUCGGGACCGUCAAAUCACGGGUCUAGGUCCGUUUACCCAAAAUAUUGAUCGAAGUCAAAUUUACUUAUUUUAUAAUCAAAACUUAGCAUUUUUCAUAAAUUUUCAUAUUUAUGCUUUCCGGCUACACGCCCGGACUAUGCACGCAAAUUGAGAUAAUGAUAAAUGAGGUUUUUAAUGCCUCGAUGACACAAAAUUCAAUUAAAAUAGGUAAUGAUCCUUUGGGUCGCCACAUUCUCCACCUCUAAAAUAAUCGUUCGUCCUCGAACGGACAUAAGAAGGAAGUACCUGAGUCGAGAAAAAGAUGGGGAUAACGACUCCGCAUAUCGGACUCGGACUCCCAGGUUGAUGCCUCAGCAGGCUAACCUCUCCUCUAAACAUGAACAGAAGGAAAGCUCUUCGAUCUCAACUGACGAAUUUUCCAGCUAGAAUAGCUACCAACUCCUCCUCAUAAGACAAGUCCUUGUCCAACUGGACAGUGUUGAAAUCUAACACAUGGAAUGGAUCGCCGUGAUGCUUGUGAAGCAUGAACACAUGAAACACUAGAUGCACAACUGAUAAGGUAGGCGGUAAUGCAAGUCUAUAAGCCAUAUCUCCCACUCGAUCAAUAAUCUCAAUUGACCAACGAACCUAGGGCUAAGCUUUCCCUUCUUCCCAAAUCUCAUCAUGCCCUUCAAAGGCGACACUCGGAACAAUACCCACUCACUAAUCAUAAAAGCUACAUCUCAAACCUUGUGGUAUGCAUAACUCUUUUUCCUGGACUGAGCUAUACGAAGCCUAUCCUGAAUGAUCCUGACCUUUUCCAAGGCCUCCUGAACCAGAUCUGUACCCAGCAACCGAGCCUCCCCGGGCUCAAAUCAUCCAACCGAAGAUCGACACCGCCUACCAUAUAAAACCUCAUAAAGAUCCAUCUGGAUACUCGACUGGUAGUUGUUGUUGUUGGCAAACUCUGCUAAAGGAAAAUAUUGAUCUCACGAGCCUCCAAAGUCAAUGACACAAUCCCCGAGCAUAUCCUCUAAAAUAUGAAUAGUUCGCUCAGACUGCCCGUCCGUCUAGGGAUGAAAUGUUGUGCUCAACUCAACCUGUAUGCUCAAUUCUCGCUAAACUGCUCUUCAAAACCACGAGAUAAACUGCGUACCUUGGUACGAAAAAUAUGGGCACACCAUGAAGGCAAACAAUCUCCCGAAUAUAGAUCUCAGCCAACCUCUUAGAAGAAUAAGAGACUGCCACAGGAAUGAAAUGUGCUGACUUGGUCAGCCUAUCAACAAUGAGCCAUACUGCGUCGAGCUUCUUUCGAGUCUGCAGGAGUCUAGUAAUGAAGUCCAUAGUGAUCCGCUCCCAUUUCUACUGGGGAAGCUCAAUCUUCUAAAAUAAACCACCAGGCCUCUGAUGCUCGUACUUGACUUGCUGACAAUUCAAACACUAAGUCGUAUAUGCAACAAUAUCCUUCUUCAUUCUCCUCCACCAAUAAUGUUGCCACAAAUCCUGAUACAUUUUUGCGGCGCCCAGAUGAAUAGAGUACCAUGAGCUAUGGGCCUCCUCUAAAAUCAACUCUCGGAGCUCAUCCACAUUAGGCACACAUGCUCAACAAUGCAGUCUCAAAACUUCAUCAUCAUCUAAGGUAACCUUCCUAGCACCUCCGCGUUGCACCGUGUCUCUAAGGAUACACAAAUAAAGAUCAUCAUACUGCCGAUCACAAAUGUGCUCCAACAAUGAAGAAUGAUGACCGUGCAAGAUAACACACGACUAGGCUAAAAACAUCUAGUCUCAUGAACUGAUUGGCCAAAACUUGAACAUCCAAAGCAAGCUGCCUCUCACCGACUCGAAUAUAAGCAAGAUUUCCCAUACUGGCUGACUUCCUACUCAAAGCAUCGGCCACCACAUUGGCCUUUCCCGGGUGAUAUAAGAUGGCGAUAUCAUAAUCCUUCAACAACUCCAACCACCUUCUCUGCCUCAAAUUCAACUCUUUUGGUUGAACAAAUACUGAAGACUCUUAUGAUCUGUGAAUACCUCACAUGCCACGCCAUACUGAGAGUUCCUCCAAAUAUUCAAUGCAUUGUUGAUGGCUGCCAACUCUAUAUCAUGGACUGGAUAGUUCUUCUCAUGAACUUUCAACUGCCUCGAAGCAUAGGCAAUGACCUUGCCAUCCUGCAUCAACACUACACCAAGCCCAAUACGAGAAACAUCAAAAUAAACUGUAUAGGCCUUGAACCUAUGGGCAAAACCAACACUGGCGGUGUUGUCAGAGAUGUCUUGAGCUUCUGGCCUCACACUCAUCUGACCACCUGAACUGCACUUUUCUGGGUUAACCUAGUCAUCAGGGCUACAAUAGACGAAAACCUUCCCACGAACCGAUGAUAGUAGCCUGCCAACCCCAAGAAACUCCGAAUUUCUGUAGCUGAUGUUGGUCUAGGUCAGUUCUUGACCGCCUCAAUCUUCUUCGGAUUAACCUGAACACCCUCUGCUGACACAACAUGACCUAGAAAUACGACUGAACUCAACCAGAACUCACACUUCGAGAACUUGGCAUAUAACUCACUAUCCAUGAGAGUUUGAAGAACCACUCUAAGGUGAUGCUCGUGCUUCCCUUGAUUGCGAGAAUAUAUCAAGAUAUCAUAAAUUAAGACUAUCAUGAAUCCAAAUAAAGUCUAAAAACUCCAUCAAAUCCAUAAAAGUUGUUGGGGCAUUUUUCAACCCGAACGACAUAACAAAGAACUCAUAAUGCACGUAUUGAGUGCAGAUAGUUGUCUUAGGGACAUCAGAUACCUUAAUCCUCAACUGAUGGUAGCCAUAUCUCAACGCAAUCUUUGAAAAUACCCUGGUACCCAGAAGCUGAUCGAACAAAUCAUCAAUCCUCAACAACAAAUACUUAUUUUUGAUAGUAACCUUGUUCAAUCGCCGGUAAUCAAUACACAUUCUCAUUGACCCAUCCUUCUUUUUAACAAACAACAUUGCCGCACCCCAAGACAAAAUACUGGGUCUAAUGAAACCCUUCUCAAGCAAGUCUUGCAAUUUUGGCUUUAACACUUUCAACUCAGGCGGGUCCAUACGAUACGGUGGAAUAGAAAUGGGCUGAGUGCUCGGAGCCAUAUCAAUGUAAAAGUCAACAUCCCUGUCGGGCGGCAUACCUGGCAGGUUUGAAGGGAAAACAUCAAGAAACUCACGAACAACGAGAAUAGAGUCAAUAGAAGGGACCUCGAUACUAGAAUCACGAACAUAUGCCAAAUAGGUCAAACACCCCUUCUCGACCAUACACCGAGCCUUUACAUACGAGAUAACACUGCGGGUAGAAUGUCUAGGAGUCUAUCUCUACUCUAGACAAGGCAUACCCAGUAAAGCUAAGGUCACAAUCUUGGCAUGACAGUCCAAGAUAGCGUGGUAAGGUG
rnacentral:lncRNA from 1 species